rnacentral:misc_RNA from 1 species
GGAGCUGAGGGAAGUGGCGGCGGGGUACGGGGUGGUGGCGUGUAAGAGUGCUUGUGAGGCGUUUGGGUCGCCGGAGUAUUGCUGUAGCGGCGUGUACGGGAGCCCGGGGACUUGCCGGCCGUCGGCGUACGCGGCGUAUUUUAAGAGUGCUUGUCCGAGGGCGUAUAGCUACGCGUAUGAUGAUGCCACGUCGACGUUUACGUGCAUGGGAGCUGACUAUGUUAUCACGUUCUGUCCCGG